GGUGGCUCAGUGGUAAAGCGCUUGCCUUGCAUGCAUGAGGACCUGGGUUCGAUUCCUUAGCACCA
rnacentral:tRNA from 1 species